rnacentral:rRNA from 1 species
UGAACUUAAGCAUAUCAAUAAGCGGAGGAAAAGAAACUAACAAGGAUUCCCCUAGUAACUGCGAGUGAGCGGGAAAGCUCAAAUUUAAAAUCUGGCGGUCUUUGGCCGUCCGAGUUGUAGUCUGGAGAAGCGUCUUCCGCGCUGGACCGUGUACAAGUCUCUUGGAACAGAGCGUCAUAGAGGGUGAGAAUCCNGUCUUUGACACGGACUAGCAGUGCUUUGUGAUGCGCUCUCAAAGAGUCGAGUUGUUUGGGAAUGCAGCUCAAAAUGGGUGGUAAAUUCCAUCUAAAGCUAAAUAUUGGCGAGAGACCGAUAGCGAACAAGUACCGUGAGGGAAAGAUGAAAAGCACUUUGGAAAGAGAGUUAAACAGUACGUGAAAUUGCUGAAAGGGAAACGAUUGAAGUCAGUCGCGUCGUCCAGAACUCAACCUGGCUUUUGCUUGGUGCACUUUCUGGUUGACGGGCCAGCAUCAGUUUCGGUCGUCGGAGAAAGGCCUUUGGAAUGUGGCACCUUCGGGUGUGUUAUAGCCUUGGGUCAUAUACGACGGUUGGGACUGAGGACCGCAGCACGCCUUUUGGCCGGGGUUCGCCCACGUACGUGCUUAGGAUGCUGGCGUAAUGGCUUUAAACGACCCGUCUUGAAACACGGACCAAGGAGUCUAACAUGCCUGCGAGUGUUUGGGUGGAAAACCCGAGCGCGUAACGAAAGUGAAAGUUGGGAUCUCUGUCGCGGAGAGCACCGACGCCCACACCAGACCUUCUGUGACGGAUGUGCGGUCGAGCAUGUAUGUUGGGACCCGAAAGAUGGUGAACUAUGCCUGAAUAGGGUGAAGCCAGAGGAAACUCUGGUGGAGGCUCGUAGCGAUUCUGAC